AUCAACUUUCGAUGGUAGGAUAGAGGCCUACCAUGGUGGUAACGGGUAACGGGGUGUUAGGGCACGACACCGGAGAGGGAGCCUGAGAAACGGCUACCACAUCCAAGGAUGGCAGCAGGCGCGCAAAUUACCCAAUCCCGACACGGGGAGGUAGUGACAAUAAAUAACAAUACGGGGUUCUUUCGGAUCUCGUAAUUGGAAUGAGUACAAUUUAAAUCUCUUAACGAGGAACAAUUGGAGGGCAAGUCUGGUGCCAGCAGCCGCGGUAAUUCCAGCUCCAAUAGCGUAUAUUAAAGUUGUUGCAGUUAAAAAGCUCGUAGUUGAAUUUCGGGAUUAGUAGGUUGGUCAUGCCUCUGGUAUGUACUGGUCUCACUGAUUCCUCCUUCCUUAUGAACCGUAAUGCCAUUAAUUUGGUGUUGCGGGGAAUUUGGACUGUUACUUUGAAAAAAUUAGAGUGUUUAAAGCAGGCUAACGCUUGAAUACAUUAGCAUGGAAUAAUGAAAUAGGACGUUCGAUCUUAUUUUGUUGGUUGCUAGGAUUGACGUAAUGAUUAAUAGGGAUAGUUGGGGGCAUUAGUAUUCAAUUGUCAGAGGUGAAAUUCCUGGAUUUAUUGAAGACUAACUACUGCGAAAGCAUUUGCCAAGGAUGUUUUCAUUAAUCAAGAACGAAAGUUAGGGGAUCGAAGACGAUCAGAUACCGUCGUAGUCUUAACCAUAAACUAUGCCGACUAGGGAUCGGAUGAUGUUAAUUUUUUAAUGACUCAUUCGGCGCCUUACGGGAAACCAAAGUGUUUGGGU
rnacentral:rRNA from 1 species